GAUGAACGCUGGCGGCGUGCCUAAUACAUGCAAGUCGAGCGAAUGGAUUAAGAGCUUGCUCUUAUGAAGUUAGCGGCGGACGGGUGAGUAACACGUGGGUAACCUGCCCAUAAGACUGGGAUAACUCCGGGAAACCGGGGCUAAUACCGGAUAACAUUUUGAACAGAAUGGUUCGAAAUUGAAAGGCGGCUUCGGCUGUCACUUAUGGAUGGUGCGGCGUCGCUUUAGCUAGUUGGUGAGGUAACGGCUCACCAAGGCAACGAUGCGUAGCCGACCUGAGAGGGUGAUCGGCCACACUGGGACUGAGAUACGGCCCAGACUCCUACGGGAGGCAGCAGUAGGGAAUCUUCCGCAAUGGACGAAAGUCUGACGGAGCAACGCCGCGUGAGUGAUGAAGGCUUUCGGGUCGUAAAACUCUGUUGUUAGGGAAGAACAAGUGCUAGUUGAAUAAGCUGGCACCUUGACGGUACCUAACCAGAAAGCCACGGCUAACUACGUGCCAGCCGCCGCAGUAA
rnacentral:rRNA from 1 species